CUGGCGGCGUGCCUAAUACAUGCAAGUCGAGCGGAAUGAUGAAGAAGCUUGCUUCUUCUGAUUUUAGCGGCGGACGGGUGAGUAACACGUGGGCAACCUACCUUGUAGAUUGGGAUAACUCCGGGAAACCGGGGCUAAUACCGAAUAAUCCAUUUUGCUUCAUGGCGAGAUGUUGAAAGACGGUUUCGGCUGUCACUACAAGAUGGGCCCGCGGCGCAUUAGCUAGUUGGUAGGGUAAUGGCCUACCAAGGCGACGAUGCGUAGCCGACCUGAGAGGGUGAUCGGCCACACUGGGACUGAGACACGGCCCAGACUCCUACGGGAGGCAGCAGUAGGGAAUCUUCCACAAUGGACGAAAGUCUGAUGGAGCAACGCCGCGUGAGUGAAGAAGGUUUUCGGAUCGUAAAACUCUGUUGUAAGGGAAGAACACGUACGAGAGUAACUGCUCGUACCUUGACGGUACCUUAUUAGAAAGCCACGGCUAACUACGUG
rnacentral:rRNA from 1 species